AAAACUUUCAACAACGGAUCUCUUGGUUCCAGCAUCGAUGAAGAACGCAGCGAAAUGCGAUAAGUAAUGUGAAUUGCAGAAUUCAGUGAAUCAUCGAAUCUUUGAACGCACAUUGCGCCCCUCGGUAUUCCGGGGGGCAUGCCUGUUCGAG
rnacentral:rRNA from 1 species